AGCAGCCGCGGUAAUUCCAGCUCCAAUAGCGUAUAUUAAAGUUGUUGCAGUUAAAAAGCUCGUAGUUGAAUUUCGGGAUUGACGUGAUGGUCAUGCCUUAAGGGGUAUGAACUGUUACUGUUGAUUUCUCACCUUCUGGAGAAACUUGAUGUCCUUUAUUGGGUGUCUUGCGGAUCCAGGACCUUUACCUUGAAAAAAUUAGAGUGUUUAAAGCAGGCAUUUUUGCUCGAAUACAUUAGCAUGGAAUAAUAGAAUAGGACGGCAUGGUUCUAUUUUGUUGGUUUCUAGGAUCACCGUAAUGAUUAAUAGGGAUAGUUGGGGGCAUUAGUAUUCAAUUGUCAGAGGUGAAAUUCUUGGAUUUAUUGAAGACUAACUACUGUGAAAGCAUUUGCCAAGGAUGUUUUCAUUAAUCAAGAACGAAAGUUAGGGGAUCGAAGACGAUCAGAUACCGUCGUAGUCUUAACCAUAAACUAUGCCGACUAGGAAUCAGACGAUGUUAAUUUUUUAAUGACUCGUUUGG
rnacentral:rRNA from 1 species